GAUGAACGCUGGCGGCGUGCCUAAUACAUGCAAGUCGAGCGAACAGACGAGGAGCUUGCUCCUCUGACGUUAGCGGCGGACGGGUGAGUAACACGUGGAGAACCUACCUAUAAGACUGGGAUAACUUCGGGAAACCGGAGCUAAUACCGGAUAAUAUAUUUAACCGCAUGGUUCAAUAGUGAAAGACGGUUUUGCUUUCACUUAUAGAUGGAUCCGCGCCGCAUUAGCUAGUUGGGAAGGUAACGGCUUACCAAGGCAACGAUGAGUAGCCGACCUGGGAGGGUGGUCGCCCCCACUGGACGUGAGACCCGGUCCAGCCUCCUACGGAAGGAGGCGGAAGGGAACCUUCCGCAAUGGGCGAAAGCCUGACGGAGCAAGGCCGCGUGAGUGAGGAAGGUCUUCGGAUCGUAAAACUCUGUUAUUAGGGAAAAACAAAUGUGUAAGUAACUAUGCACGUCUUGACGGUACCUAAUCAGAAAGCCACGGCUAACUACGUG
rnacentral:rRNA from 1 species